rnacentral:rRNA from 1 species
AGAGUUUGAUCCUGGCUCAGGACGAACGCUGGCGGCGUGCUUAACACAUGCAAGUCGAACGGAAAGGCCCUUCGGGGUACUCGAGUGGCGAACGGGUGAGUAACACGUGGGUGAUCUGCCCUGCACUUUGGGAUAAGCCUGGGAAACUGGGUCUAAUACCGAAUAUGACCAUGCGCCUCCUGGUGUGUGGUGGAAAGCUUUUGCGGUGUGGGAUGGGCCCGCGGCCUAUCAGCUUGUUGGUGGGGUAAUGGCCUACCAAGGCGACGACGGGUAGCCGGCCUGAGAGGGUGACCGGCCACACUGGGACUGAGAUACGGCCCAGACUCCUACGGGAGGCAGCAGUGAGGAAUAUUGCACAAUGGGCGCAAGCCUGAUGCAGCGACGCCGCGUGAGGGAUGACGGCCUUCGGGUUGUAAACCUCUUUCAGCACAGACGAAGCGCAAGUGACGGUAUGUGCAGAAGAAGGACCGGCCAACUACGUGCCAGCAGCCGCGGUAAUACGUAGGGUCCGAGCGUUGUCCGGAAUUAAUGGGCGUAAAGAGCUCGUAGGUGGUUUGUCGCGUUGUUCGUGAAAACUCACAGCUUAACUGUGGGCGUGCGGGCGAUACGGGCAGACUUGAGUACUGCAGGGGAGACUGGAAUUCCUGGUGUAGCGGUGGAAUGCGCAGAUAUCAGGAGGAACACCGGUGGCGAAGGCGGGUCUCUGGGCAGUAACUGACGCUGAGGAGCGAAAGCGUGGGGAGCGAACAGGAUUAGAUACCCUGGUAGUCC